AUUCAAACGAAACGUAGGUAUUGUUGAGAAAUUCAUUACUAAACGGACAAAGAUAAAUUUUGUUAUUUUCAAUGUCACCGGCACGUAAACGUUGGUUAUUCUAGAAAGUAUCACUGUGAUUUCACCUGAAUAAUAUGGAUUAUGGACGAUGUCAACUCUAUAAUAAUCUGUCUGGCUGUUCCUAGUUAAAUGUGUAUUGUUGAGUGAGUUGAAUUUUCGUUCAAUAUGGGAGAAGGUUGUUGCCUAAUUUAGGUACUCAAUUCGUAAAGUUUUUUGAUUUUAUCAAAAUGGAAACGUCAAAAAGUGACAUUAAAAAUAUGAACAUUACUGAGCCACCCAGAGAAGGUGAGAGUCAAGAAAUGGGAAUGGGAAUACUGAAAUCAAAAUCAGAUGACAUUCGAAAUUAUGGAGUGACGUCAUCGCAAAGUUCAAAUACGGAAGUGGAAAUUGAUGUAAGCAAUUGCAAGAAUGAUGAAAGUAAGGGAGAUUCGUCAAAGUGGUGGCAGAAGGUGAAAACAUUUUGGAAUCAUCCAGCUGGACCGAUGACAAUAUUUUUUUGGGCGCCUGCUUUGAAAUGGGGUUUAGUCAUAGCAGGUUUGAGCGAUUUGCAGAGACCUGCAGAAAAACUCAGCGCGCUACAAACAAUAGCUUUACUUGCCACAGGAAUUAUAUGGUGUAGAUAUUCAUUUGCUAUUACUCCUAAGAACUAUAGUCUAUUCAGUGUCAAUUUGUUCAUAGCUCUCACUCAAAGCUAUCAGUUUUAUAGGUCUAUUAAAUAUCAAUAUUUUUCAAGUGGGACUUGAUUAUAUCAAAUGUGAUAUAAAUGUGAAUUGUUAAUUUUAAGUAUUGAUACAGCUGAAUAUUGUAUAUUGUUUUAUGAACAAACAAUUUUCAUAUAUCUUUUUAUUAUAUCAAUUAACGUUGUCUAUAUUCAUAUAUUUUUAAAUUAUCAACUUCAUUAAAUAUUACUACAUUCCUUUCUUCCCUUGCAGAGGAAAUCCAACAACUGAUUUAAAAUCUGCUUUGCUUUUUUGAGAAUAGUUUUUUCACCCUUCAGUUUAACAAUUUUGCUAUUCUAGUAAAUCAACAAUAUGUCAAGUUUUCAAUAUUUCAAUCAACCACACAAAACGUUGAAAAUUUAUGUCAACCUUGUGAAAUAUGAAAAUCUAGAAAUGAAGUAUUAAAAACACAAUUUAUUGUAUAGUGACGUAGCAAAAAAUAUGAUUGUAUAGCCUGAAUUUUUGGGUAUUACUUAGGAAAGGAUACUUCAAGAAAAAAUAUCAUUCUUUCUACCAAAACCAGAACGAUAAGUAUAUUAGCAGUGAGUGACAAGAAUACUUAACCUAAUAGGAAAAUCUCCAAUAAAAUAUAGUUUGAAUUUCAAAUAUUGAAAAAAAAUUUAAUUCACAUGAUUAAUUAUCUGGCAUUUCUCCUCCUGGAACCAACUAAAAAAAAAUCUCAUUUAUUUCUUCUGAAAUUUUCCACCCAAUGUUUCAUCUUACCAUUGUGAUAUUAUUUCCAUUCAAUAAAAUUUGGUCUAGUUUUGUUA